rnacentral:rRNA from 1 species
UUGACCUCGGAUCAGGUAGGGAUACCCGCUGAACUUAAGCAUAUCAAUAAGCGGAGGAAAAGAAACCAACAGGGAUUGCCCUAGUAACGGCGAGUGAAGCGGCAACAGCUCAAAUUUGAAAUCUGGCGCUUUCAGCGUCCGAGUUGUAAUUUGCAGAGGGCGCUUUGGCGUUGGCAGCGGUCCAAGUUCCUUGGAACAGGUCGUCACAGAGGGUGAGAAUCCCGUACGUGGCCGCAUGUCUUCGCCGUGUAAAGCCCCUUCGACGAGUCGAGUUGUUUGGGAAUGCAGCUCUAAAUGGGAGGUAAAUUUCUUCUAAAGCUAAAUACUGGCCAGAGACCGAUAGCGCACAAGUAGAGUGAUCGAAAGAUGAAAAGCACUUUGGAAAGAGAGUCAAACAGCACGUGAAAUUGUUGAAAGGGAAGCGCUUGCAGCCAGACUUGCCUGCCGUUGCUCAUCCGGGCUCUUGCCCGGUGCAUUCUUCGGUAGGCAGGCCAGCAUCAGUUUGGGCGGUGGGAUAAAGGUCUCUGUCACGUACCUCCUUUCGGGGAGGCCUUAUAGGGGAGACGUC